CAAGCCAUGUGAUCAUCCACGACAGCAGGGUAGCGUCGCUGAGAUAACACGGCGCAGAGCUGGAUGAACACUACAGGCCAAGCAGGAAAGCUGACGUUUCGGGCCGAGAUCCUUCGCUGAGACCAAGAUUUGUGCAAUUGAGAUACCAUCGAUCAUUGUCAAAGCCCUGUUGCCUGUGGAGAAGGUGAUGUUUAAUUUUCGUGUCCUGCUGCAGUUCAUAUGAUGGUACUCCUGCAAUGCGGUCAUUUGAGAAGUCACAGAUCAUUCAUCUAGCGAUACUGAAGAGCUGAUGGUUUACGCCUCAAGGCACCUCCAACAGCAUCUUCAAACCCAUGACCUCCCUACUAGAAAGAAAAGGGCAGCAGCUACAGGAGAGAUGCCACCAUCUGCAAGUUCACCUGCAAGAUACACACCAUCCUGUCUUGGAGAAAUAUUGCAGCUCUUUCAGUGUCCCUUGGUCAAAAAUCCCAGAACUCCCUUCCUAAUAGCAUUGUGGAUGAACUCACAUCUCUAAUGGCCGUUGCAGUUCAAGAAAGCAGCUCAUUACCACCUUCUCAGGGCAACACAUGCUGGCCUUGCUCGUUACAGCUAUAUUCCACAAAUGGGUUUUUUAAAAAAACUGACAAUAAAGAGGAACACUCCUCCCUUCCAGUCCACUUUUCUCCGCUUUUCAAAAUGUAAAGACCUAUAUCUUCAAUCAAGCUUUUGUCAGGCCUCCUAAGAUCCCCUUAGACACAGCAUUUAAUUUGGUCAGAUUCAUACCUUUUUGGUUCUGAGGUGUAUCUUGGGACAUUUGCCGAACUGAAGGUGUGGUGUCAAUGGAAAUUCUCUUUAAAUCAAAUUGUGACAGACUGGGAGAGCCAGUAUUAAACUAAAUAUUUGGGUGAAUGGAGUUGAGUCUUAGAUCAGAUAUGACCCUCAAUAAAUGAUUCAUUUUCUUUUUCUUUUCCCUUUUGUUUUUUUUUAAUCAUUCUCUUCUCUCUUAAAGCCUCCGAACACCUGGCCUUCAAAUUUCCAGCCUCGGACUUCACGACUUCUGAGCUCCUGGCUUCAGAACUCUUGGCCUUGGAUCUCAUGGCCUCCGAGUUGCAGCCUUGAAACUCUCAGCCUUGGCACAAACCCGACGAGGGUCCUCUUGGCCUGUUAUGGCAGCCUGCUGGCCCAGCAUGGCAUUGGUGUGAACUUCCAUCUCCAGGUAAUUCCAGAACAUUCUCCUGGCCUCAUGAAUCCUGAGCUGAAACCAGGUGAUGUCUGGAGUCACGACCUAGUGCAGACUGGAGGCUGAGUGCCAGCAUGAACUGCGUCUGAAGAGAGUUGUUCUGAAUUUUUUUCUCCAUUUUAUAAUUUAUUCCAAUAACCUGCAAUUGCUUUUUAACCUCUAUUCUUCCAAAAAAACGUAAUUAAAAAGCUGUACUUUGGGACCUUUGUGCCUAAGAUGGUGCUGUAAGCGGCGACUUGUUCAUUUAAGGGUUACUAGACCCUGAUUUCUGAUCUCUUCACAGAUGCUGCCAGAUCUGUUGAGCUUUUCCAGCAACUUCUGUUUUAGUUUCUAAUUGACAGCAUCUGCAUUUCUUUUGGCUUUUAUUUAGCGUUUCACUGUAUUCAUUUGAGUACAUGGGACAAUAAAGCUCAUUCUAAUUCUGAUAAAAAAAAUCUGAGUGAUUCAGUGGCCCCUUCCUGUUUUUAUAUUUCAAAUAAACCAGGGCCCCCACACAAUUGAUGAACAGAAAGGCAUGGAAGAGCUGGGGAUACGACUCAACAGCAGGAAACCAGACCUUGAGCAAAACUGGCGAGUGGGGAAAGUCUGGGGAGAAUGUACAGAACAACUGGAGUGGGUCAUUCAGCCCUUUUGGGCUGUUCACCAUUCCAAUUCAGUGCAGAGUAUAGGGCAAAUAGUCUCCUCUUUUCAGGCUGGAGUACCUUUCCCCAUGUCCUUACCCCACCCCCACACACUAGGCCUUACACUGGGCCUUGUCACCACAUUGGCUGCUAUCACAAACAACCUAUUGUCUUUGACUAUGAUAAUAAAAUGUGAGGCUGGAUGAACACAGCAGGCCCAGCAGCAUCUCAGGAGCACAAAAGCUGACGUUUUGGGCCUAGACCCUUCAUCAGAGAGGGGGAUGGGGUGAGGGUUCUUUGUCUUUGACUAUCAGUCCCCAUUAGCAGCUGUUUUAUUUCACUGCUUCAUCACUGAUCAACACUGAUUGAUUAUCCUUGAUUGUUCUUGAGAAGGUAGUGGUGAGUUGUCUUCUUGAACUGUUGGAAGUGAUAUAUUCUCUCCAAAGUAUGUCAUCACAGGACUCUCCUUUUCCAGGACUCAGCAGUUUCCUAUGCAAGCACUUCUGUUUGUGAUAAGCCAGAUAACUGGUGAAACAAACACAGAAAUUACUGGAAAAUUUCAGCAGGUUUGGCAACAUCUGUAGUCAGGGUGUUGAAGUCACUAUCUGAAAUGGGAAUGGAGGCAGAAACCCUGCACACAUUUGAAAGGUCUCUGGAUCUGCAGCUCAAGAUCUAGCUGGAUGGAUGUUUGUUUUUUUGGCCCGUGCAGACACAUUGAGAAGUGGUCUCUUCCUGCACUGGAAACUUUCUGUAAAUCUAUGAAUGGAUUCACAUGGAUUAAAAAAGAAUACUUCAA